rnacentral:rRNA from 1 species
UACGAAGGGGGGCUAGCGUUGUUCGGAAUUACUGGGCGUAAAGCGCACGUAGGCGGAUAUUUAAGUCAGGGGGUGAAAUCCCAGAGCUCAACUCUGGAACUGCCUUUUGAUACUGGGUAUCUUGAGUAUGGAAGAGGUAAGUGGAAUUCCGAGUGUAGAGGUGAAAUUCGUAGAUAUUCGGAGGAACACCAGUGGCGAAGGCGGCUUACUGGUCCAUUACUGACGCUGAGGUGCGAAAGCGUGGGGAGCAAACAGG